GAUAAGGUUAAGUUAAUAAGGGCGCACGGUGGAUGCCUUGGCACUAGAAGCCGAAGAAGGACGUGACUAACGACGAAAUGCUUUGGGGAGCUGUAAGUAAGCGCUGAUCCAGAGAUGUCCGAAUGGGGGAACCCACUAGCUACUGGCUAGUAUCCAUAACUGUUAAGGUUAUGAGAAGGAAGACGCAGUGAACUGAAACAUCUAAGUAGCUGCAGGAAGAGAAAGCAAACGCGAUUGCCUUAGUAGCGGCGAGCGAAACGGCAGGAGGGCAAACCGAGAAGUUUACUUCUCGGGGUUGUAGGACUGCGACGUGGGACUUUAAAAGGAUAGAAGAAUUACCUGGGAAGGUAAGCCAAAGAGAGUAAUAGCCUCGUAUUUAAAAUUCUUUUGAGCCCUAGCAGUAUCCUGAGUACGGCGAGACACGCGAAAUCUCGUCGGAAUCUGGGAGGACCAUCUCCCAACCCUAAAUACUCUCUAGUGACCGAUAGUGAACCAGUACCGUGAGGGAAAGGUGAAAA
rnacentral:rRNA from 1 species